CUGGUUGAUCCUGCCAAUUUUGGUACUCUCAAUUUGGAGCUUAAGCCAUGCAUACUACUGACUGCGUACCCGGCAACGGGUAGAGCUAUCAGCGUGCACGGCUCAUUAUAUCGAUGGGAUGAAGGAGCAGUGCUACGCUCUCAGGUGAUAACCACGGAAACACUGUGGCUAAUACCGUUCAUGCCCACUCUUCGGAGUGUAGACCCCGCCGGACUGCGUUCUCCCGUGGCCACCACCGUGUGGCCCGGGGGGGAAGGGAGCUCCGCCGGAGGGGAACACAAAGUAUUAAUCGGUCGAACCUCUGCCAGCCGGUUCGCCUUAUCAUUGUCUGGUAACUUGAACUCUACUAGUCACGGCUAUAACGGGUAACGGAGGGU
rnacentral:rRNA from 1 species